rnacentral:pre_miRNA from 1 species
CACCGAUCGUUGGCGACUCAGGCUCCUCCAUGGGAGCAGUACCCUGAGUCGCCAACAAUCGGUGCC